GAUUUUUUCAUCCGUUAUCUCUGUUGAUCCCUCCCUGAUCUGUCUUCUGUUUCUCAAAGACACCCAUCCAACCUGAUGCUGGACCGUCUGAGUGGGAAGAUCCUGCACAUUGACUUUGGGGACUGCUUUGAGGUUGCUAUGACCCGAGAGAAGUUUCCAGAGAAGAUUCCAUUUAGACUAACAAGAAUGUUGACCAAUGCUAUGGAGGUUACAGGCCUGGAUGGCAACUACAGAAUCACAUGCCACACAGUGAUGGAGGUGCUGCGAGAGCACAAGGACAGUGUCAUGGCCGUGCUGGAAGCCUUUGUCUAUGACCCCUUGCUGAACUGGAGGCUGAUGGACACAAAUACGAAAGGCAACAAGCGAUCCCGAACGAGGACGGAUUCCUACUCUGCUGGCCAGUCAGUCGGGGUGCAAAAAGAAAAUGUGAGGUACAGUGGUCGCCUGAAGAAGCACAGAAAGCAUUACAGAAUUGACCAUAACCUGCUUGAAAUAGUCAGAGAGCAGGAGACUCUGCCGUGGAGCCUGCGGGUGCUUUCGUGUGGAGUAGGGCUGUGGAGAUUCAGAAAAGGGGACUUCACUGUGAACCGUAGCUGCGAAGAGAGCACUUGGGUUGGUGGCAUCUAACCAUCACUUCACCUGACAAAGGAAAUUUUGGACGGUGUGGAACUUGGAGAGCCAGCCCAUAAGAAAACGGGGACCACAGUGCCAGAAUCUAUUCAUUCUUUCAUUGGAGACGGUUUGGUGAAACCAGAGGCCCUAAAUAAGAAAGCUAUCCAGAUUAUUAACAGGGUUCGAGAUAAGCUCACUGGUCGGGACUUCUCUCAUGAUGACACUUUGGAUGUUCCAACGCAAGUUGAGCUGCUCAUCAAACAAGCGACAUCCCAUGAAAACCUCUGCCAGUGCUAUAUUGGCUGGUGCCCUUUCUGGUAACUGGAGGCCCAGAUGUGCCCGUCACGUUUUUUCUGAGGCUUUUGUACUUUAGUAAAUGCUUCCACUAAACUGAAACCAUGGUGAGAAAGUUUGACUUUGAUAAAUAUUUUGAAAUGUAAAUGAAAAGAACUACUGUAUAUUAAAAGUUGGUUUGAACCAACUUUCUAGCUGCUGUUGA
rnacentral:sRNA from 1 species